rnacentral:lncRNA from 1 species
GUGGUAAAGAGAGCUUACCAGAGGAAGCAGCCCCUGAGGCAACUGAAGGAGCCUCUAAAGUGUUGGCUGUGGUUCAAGCCUGGCCAAUAAGAGCCUCACACCGGCCACAGUGAUUGGGAUGGGUGCAUCACCCAAUUAGAGCCAGAAAGAAGCAUCUUGGACUUUUGUUGAGCCUGUAAGACAAGUACGCCUUGGCAUCUACUUGUUUGAACAUGGUCCUUCUGGUUGUUCUAUGUGGGACACCACCUCAGCAUGGCAUGAUGAGCAGUGCCAUGUCUGCACCCAGGAUCCAAACUGGUGAAACCCUGGGCAGCCAAAGCAGAGCCUGCAAACUUAACCACUUGGCCCCCGGGCUGGCCCCAUAUGCAUGCAUUUCUAUUGGAUAUAUUCUCAAGAGUAGAACUGCUAGGUCAUAGAGUAUACAUAUGUUCAACUUUAGAAUAUAUUGCCAAAUUAUGUUCCAAAGUGAUUGUACCAAUUUACUCUUCCACCCUGGUGCGUAUCUGUUGCUUAACAUUGUAGGCAGCAUUUGGUAUUACCAGUCUUUUAUGUAUGGAUGUGUAGUAUAUCAUAUUGCAUUUUCAUAAUUACUAAUGAGGCUGAAUGCUAAUGAAAUAUACUUUUCAUAUGGCCAUUUGGAUAUCCUUUUCCCAGAAGGGACUGUUAAGCAUUUGGCCUACUUUUUUAUUGAGUUGGC